AGACCCGAAACCCGGUGAUCUAGCCAUGGGCAGGUUGAAGGUUGGGUAACACUAACUGGAGGACCGAACCGACUAAUGUUGAAAAAUUAGCGGAUGACCUGUGGCUGGGGGUGAAAGGCCAAUCAAACCGGGAGAUAGCUGGUUCUCCCCGAAAGCUAUUUAGGUAGCGCCUCGUGAAUUCAUCUCCGGGGGUAGAGCACUGUUUCGGCUAGGGGGCCAUCCCGGCUUACCAACCCGAUGCAAACUGCGAAUACCGGAGAAUGUUAUCACGGGAGACACACGGCGGGUGCUAACGUCCGUCGUGAAGAGGGAAACAACCCAGACCGCCAGCUAAGGUCCCAAAGUCAUGGUUAAGUGGGAAACGAUGUGGGAAGGCCCAGACAGCCAGGAUGUUGGCUUAGAAGCAGCCAUCAUUUAAAGAAAGCGUAAUAGCUCACUGGUCGAGUCGGCCUGCGCGGAAGAUGUAACGGGGCUAAACCAUGCACCGAAGCUGCGGCAGCGACGCUGAUGCG
rnacentral:rRNA from 2 species